GAGAGCCCCAGGAGGAAGGGGGGACUGUCAGCAGCAUAGGAUCAAGGAGCUGGAAGAGACCUUUAGAACAUCUGGUCAUUUUGCCAACUGGGUGUCUGCACUAAGUUCGGCAUCAAUCGGGUGACCUCCUGGCAGCAGGGGGCCACCAGGUUGCCUCAGGAUGAGUGAACUGGCCCAGAUCAGAAAGGGAGCAGGUCAGAACUCCUGCACCAACCGGUAGUGUGACUGUGCCUGGGCAAUAUAGCAAGAUCUCGGUUCUUAAAAGGAAAAAUAAAGAACAGCAGCUCCUU
rnacentral:SRP_RNA from 1 species